GCCCUUGUAGCUCAGCGGUUGGAGCGCCGGUCUAGUAAACCAGGGGUCGUGAGUUCAAUUCUCACCGGGGGCC